rnacentral:misc_RNA from 1 species
UAGGUGUCAUCAUCCCAUGCCUCCUAAUACAGAUUUGAAUGUGGGCCAAACUUGCAAAUAUAUUCUUUCCCACUUUGAAUAUAGAACUUAAAGCUUUUCAUCAUGACCUGAGACUAAUUAAAUUAAACUUAUUUAAGGCGCAAUUUCCUUCCACUCAAAGAAAAGUUAUAAAAUUGUCAGUUUUCAGUUUAACACCAAGAUAUUAAGAGUCAAGACAGCAGCCCACAUAUUUCUUCCAGAAGCUAAAGGACCAGCAGUAAGUAGCAGCUUUUUUCAUUUCACUUUAUUUAGACAGCAAAAGUGCAGUAUAUCCACCUAAAAGCAAAA